GGGGCUAUCGGUAUAUUGGGCGUAAGCGUGCGCAGGUGGUUUCGUAAGUCUGAUGUGAAAUCCCAGGGCUCAACCUGGGAACUGCCUUGGUGACUGGGAGACUUGAGUGCAGAAGAGGAUAGUGGAAUUCCGCGUGUAGCGGUGAAAUGCGUAGAUAUGUGGAGGAACACCGAUGGCGAAGGCGAUCCUCUGGUCCGGAACUGACGCUGAUGCACGAAAGCGUGGGGAGCAAACAGGAUUAGAUACCCUGGUAGUCCACGCCCUAAACGAUGACUGCUGGUUGUUGGGUCUUAUCUGACUCUUAAUGCUGGCUCUAACGCGUUAUUCACUCCGCGUGGAGAAUAGGCGCGCAAGAGUGACUCUCAGAAGAUUUGAGGGGCGCCCGCAAAAGCGGUGGAAUAUGUGUUUUAUUUCUGCGCCGCGCGAAAACUUAUACCCGUUUGUGAUGUCCUGAAUCCUUUAGAGAUAUAGGAGUGCUCCAUAGAGAGCCGAAACACAGGUGCUGCAUGGGUGUCGUCAGCUCGUGUCGUGAGAUGUUGGGUUAAGUCCCGCAACGAGCGCAACCCUUGUGAUUAGUUGCUACCAAAGGGCACUCUACUCUGACUGCAGAUGACAAACCACACAACAGUGGGGAGGAGGUCUAGUCCUCAUGUCCUCGUAUCUGUUGUGCUGCACACGUCACACGCUGUACGGUACAAGGGUUGACAUCCCGCGACUCGAGCUAAUCUCAUAUCCCAGACCUACUCUCUCAUCUCAGUCUGUACUCGACUCUCUGAUAUCUGAUCGAGACUCUCUUAGUAUCAGAUAUCACGUGAUACAUCCCCCGCCUCUAAAAAAAAAAAAAAA
rnacentral:rRNA from 1 species